UUCGCGAGUGAAAAGGAACCAAAGAUAGCAAGGGCUUCACGGUAUAGACCGGUAAAGCUUAAUAAUCUUGCCGAGGUAAACCUUAAAUCAGUAUAUUUUUGUGGUUUAACUCACCGUCUUUGGUGGGUUUGAAUUUUUUAAGA
rfam:Candidate division WWE3 bacterium GW2011_GWC2_41_23 TT55_C0008, whole genome shotgun sequence.